UUCGCCUUAGUAACGGCGAGUGAAGCGGCAAUAGCUCAAAUUUGAAAUCUGGCUCUUUCAGAGUCCGAGUUGUAAUUUGUAGAAGAUGCUUCGGCUUACGUAUCGGUCUAAGUUCCUUGGAACAGGACGUCACAGAGGGUGAGAAUCCCGUUUGUGGCCGGUACUUCCGCCAUGUGAAGCUCCUUCGACGAGUCGAGUUGUUUGGGAAUGCAGCUCUAAAUGGGAGGUAAAUUUCUUCUAAAGCUAAAUAUUGGCCAGAGACCGAUAGCGCACAAGUAGAGUGAUCGAAAGAUGAAAAGCACUUUGGAAAGAGAGUUAAAAAGUACGUGAAAUUGUUGAAAGGGAAGCGCUUGCGACCAGACUUGCCUUUAGUUGCUCCGCCGGUCCUUCGACCGGUGUAUUCUUCUAUUGUCAGGCCAGCAUCAGUUUGGGUGGUUGGAUAAAGGCAUCGGGAAUGUGACUCUCUUCGGGGAGUGUUAUAGCCCUUUGUGCAAUACAGCCUACCUAGACUGAGGACCGCGCUUCGGCUAGGAUGCUGGCGUAAUGGUCGUAAGCGGCCCGUCUUGAAACACGGACCAAGGAGUCUAACAUCUAUGCGAGUGUUUGGGUGUCAAACCCGUGCGCGAAAUGAAAGUGAACGGAGGUGGGAACCUUAGGGUGCACCAUCGACCGAUCCUGAUGUCUUCGGAUGGAUUUGAGUAAGAGCAUAGCUGUUGGGACCCGAAAGAUGGUGAACUAUGCCUGAAUAGGGUGAAGCCAGAGGAAACUCUGGUGGAGGCUCGCAGCGGUUCUGACGUGCAAAUCGAUCGUCAAAUUUGGGUAUAGGGGCGAAAGACUAAU
rnacentral:rRNA from 1 species